rnacentral:rRNA from 1 species
UUAAGCUAUAAAGAGCACAGGGUGGAUGCCUAGGCACUGAGAGCCGAUGAAGGACGUGAUAAGCUGCGAAAAGCCACGGGGAGGAGCAAAUAUCCUUUGAGCCGUGGAUAUCCGAAUGGGGGAACCCACUUAAGUAAACCUUAAGUACUGACAAGCCAAUACAUAACUUGCCAGAGGGAACCCGGGGAACUGAAACAUCUAAGUACCCGGAGGAAGAGAAAGAAACAUCGAUUUCCUUAGUAGCGGCGAGCGAAAGGGAAAGAGCCCAAACCGAGAGAUUUAUCUUUCGGGGUUAGGACUGCAUAAUUGAUCUGCGAUUGAUAGGAGAAUGGUCUGGGAAGUCCAGCAGGAAAGCGUGAAAGCCGCGUAUCCGAAAUUGAAAGCAGCAAGGCAGUAUCCAGAGUACCACGAGACACGAGGAACCUUGUGGGAAUGAGCGGAGACCACUCCGUAAGGCUAAAUACUACUCAGUGACCGAUAGCGCAUAGUACUGUGAAGGAAAGGUGAAAAGGACCCCGGGAGGGGAGUGAAAGAGAACCUGAAACCCUGUGUCUACAAGCUGUGGAAGUGCUUUAUAUGCACGACCGCGUACUUUUUGUAGAACGGUCCGGCGAGUUACGCUUACUGGCAAGGUUAAGCACUUCAGGUGUGGAGCCGUAGGGAAACCAAGUCUUAAGAGGGCCAGAGUCAGUAGGAGUAGACCCGAAACCGGGUGAUCUAUCCAUGUCCAGGUUGAAGCUGCCGUAAGAGGUAGUGGAGGACCGAACCCACAUCCGUUGAAAAGGGUGGGGAUGAGGUGUGGAUAGGGGAGAAAUUCCAAUCGAACCCGGAGAUAGCUGGUUCUCCUCGAAAUAGCUUUAGGGCUAGCCUCUGGUUAGUCUGCCGCAGGUAGAGCACUGAAUUUCCUAGGGGGCGUCAAAGCCUACCGAAGAAUAUCAAACUGCGAAUGGCGGACAGAUGAUGCCAGGGAGUCAGACUGCACGAGAUAAGUUGGGUGGUCAAAAGGGAAAGAGCCCAGACCUACAGCUAAGGUCCCAAAGUGUGUGUUAAGUGGAAAAGGAUGUGGGAUUUCGAAGACAACUAGGAUGUUGGCUCAGAAGCAGCCACACAUUAAAAGAGUGCGUAAUAGCUCACUAGUCGAGAGGUCCUGCGCCGAAAAUGUCCGGGGCUAAAACACAACACCGAAGCUUAGGAAUUCUAAUGAAUUGGUAGAGGAGCAUUGAAGACGGAACGAAGCCAUACCGAAAGGAAUGGUGGACUGUCUUGAAGAGAGAAUGCCGGAAUGAGUAGCGAGAUUGAAGUGAGAAUCUUCAAGGCCGAAUAUCUAAGGUUUCCAGGGUAAAGCUGAUCUGCCCUGGGUAAGUCGGGGCCUAAGGCAAGGUCGAAAGACGUAGUCGAUGGAUAACAGGUUGAAAUUCCUGUACUGCAUCAAAUCAGAAAUGUGGGGACACAUGAGGGAAGCAUGAGCCGGAAAAGGAAAGUCCGGUACAAGCGCAGCAGAGGACAGAUAGGCAAAACCGUCUGUCAACUCGAGGGCGUGAUGUGGAGCGAACCAAAGUAGCGAAGCAUGUGGAGCUUGUGUCGAGAAAAGCCGCUAUUGUGUUUGAUGUACCCGUACCGUAAACCGACACAGGUGGAUGAGGAGAGAAUCCUAAGGCCGGCGGGAGAAGCAUUGUUAAGGAACUCGGCAAAAUGACCCCGUAACUUCGGGAGAAGGGGUGCUCCAGAGAUGGAGCCGCAGAGAACUGGCCCAAGCAACUGUUUAGCAAAAACACAGGUCUAUGCAAAACCGAAAGGUGAGGUAUAUGGGCUGACGCCUGCCCGGUGCUGGAAGGUUAAGAGGAGAUGUUAAUCGCAAGGUGAAGCAUUGAAUUUAAGCCCCAGUAAACGGCGGCCGUAACUAUAACGGUCCUAAGGUAGCGAAAUUCCUUGUCGGGUAAGUUCCGACCCGCACGAAAGGCGUAAUGAUUUGAGCGCUGUCUCGACAAUGCAUCCGGUGAAAUUGAAGUACCAGUGAAGAUGCUGGUUACCUGCGCCAGGACGGAAAGACCCCAUGGAGCUUUACUCUAGUUUGAUACUGGGAUUCGGUAAUGCAUGUACAGGAUAGGUGGGAGGCUGAGAAAGGAGAACGCCAGUUUUCCUGGAGCCGAUGUUGGGAUACCACCCUUGCGUUACUGGGUUUCUAACCUGCAGCCGUGACCCGGCUGGGGGACAAUGUCAGACGGUUAUUUAUGAAAAGAGUUUAUACUUUUGGCAACGGUAAAGCAGAAGGCCGUGCCGACAUGAAAAACCUGCUGGGCGGUAAAGGAGCCAACUUGGCGGAAAUGAACUUAAUUGGAGUUCCUGUUCCCCCCGGAUUCACAAUCACUACCGAAGUUUGUACCACAUACACUCAGCAAGGGAAGGAAGCUGUUGUAAAAGAAAUCAAAGGCGAUGUAGAAAAGGCUAUCGCUCAUAUCGAAAGCCUCACGGGCACGAAAUUCGGAGAUGCCUCGAAUCCGCUAUUGGUAUCGGUUCGUUCGGGAGCUCGUGUUUCCAUGCCCGGUAUGAUGGACACGGUUCUCAACUUGGGCCUCAACGACGACUCCGUUCAGUGGCUCAUCGCUCAGACGCAAAAUCCGCGUUUUGCCUGGGAUAGCUACCGCCGCUUUAUCCAGAUGUUCUCCAACGUCGUUAUGGGUGUUGAUGCCGACCUGUUUGAGAACGCCCUGACCCAGGCCCGCCUGGUCGCCGGUGUUCGCGUCGAUUCUGAGCUUUCGGCCGAGGACCUUCAGGAGCUUGUCGAG